rnacentral:lncRNA from 1 species
GAGCGGGGCCCGGGCGGGGGGCGGGCGGGCGUUCCGCGGGGCCGGCUUCCGGGCCGCCCCGUUGCUAAGGCCGCCGCGCCGGUUGCCAAGGCGCUGAGCGCGUCCGCCUUCCUGGGGUCCGGCUUGGGCGGGAGGAGCCCGCUGGGGCCCCGGGGGGAAACGGCCUGCGCCCCGCCCCGCACGUCUUGUUCCGCGCGUCUCGCCCCGCCCCCUCCACCCUCGGCCCCGCCCCCUCCACCCUCGCCCCCCCCUCCACCCUCGGCCCCGCCCCCUCCACCCUCGGCCCCGCCUCCGCGCGUCUCGCUCCGCCCCGCCCAGCCCCGCCCCUCCACUCCAGCCCCGCGCGUCUCGCCCCGCCCCCGCCCCGCCCUUUCCUCCCCAGCCCCGCCCCGCCCCCUCCUCCUCAGCCCCGCCCCCCCACUACAGCCCCGCCCCUCCUCAGCCCCGCCCCUCUGGCCCCGCCCCCUGACCGCCCCCCCAGCGGCCCCGAGUGUUUGGGGGACGGGGUGGGGGCGCCGGGGCGCUGACAGCGGGGCUGCUCUAGGCCGUGCCCGCCACGCUUGGGACUUUGUAGACGGUUCUUUAAAAGGAUCUAAUGCGUGUCUUCCCGGGAGACGCAGGGACGCAGGCGGAGGGAGGAGCAGGCGCCCGCGGGAGCCCGACGCGGGACUCGAUCCCGGGACCCGGGGUCACGCCCUAGGCCCGGGCAGUGCCCACGGCCGAGCCCCCGGCCGCCCCCAGCUCAGUGAACAGCCGCCGGGACAGAGGGGGACCGCGUGCGCCCAGGCUCAGCGCCCCCAGCCCCGCAGCCAGAGGGGAGGCCGCAGGUGCAGCAGCCCCUGCAGGUGCUCGACCCCCGCCUGCCCCGCCCUGCAGCCCCGCCGGGCGGGUCGGCGCGUCCUUCUGUGCCCGCAGGAGAGCGGGCCGAGGGCCGGCUGCUGCCGAUGGACCCGAGGCCUCCACCCCUCCCGCCCCAGACGUUCUUCUUUUCUUGCUUGUUUUCAAGAUCUCCCGUCUACAUAG